GGGGCUGUAGCUCAGCUGGGAGAGCGCAGGAUUUGCAUUCCUGAGGUCAGGGGUUCGAUCCCCCUCAGCUCCA
rnacentral:tRNA from 1 species